GAUGGUGCUUGCACUAUCACUUAGCGGCGGACGGGUGAGUAAUGCUUAGGAAUCUGCCUAUUAGUGGGGGACAACAUUUCGAAAGGAAUGCUAAUACCGCAUACGUCCUACGGGAGAAAGCAGGGGAUCUUCGGACCUUGCGCUAAUAGAUGAGCCUAAGUCGGAUUAGCUAGUUGGUGGGGUAAAGGCCUACCAAGGCGACGAUCUGUAGCGGGUCUGAGAGGAUGAUCCGCCACACUGGGACUGAGACACGGCCCAGACUCCUACGGGAGGCAGCAGUGGGGAAUAUUGGACAAUGGGCGCAAGCCUGAUCCAGCCAUGCCGCGUGUGUGAAGAAGGCCUUAUGGUUGUAAAGCACUUUAAGCGAGGAGGAGGCUACUGAAGUUAAUACCUUCAGAUAGUGGACGUUACUCGCAGAAUAAGCACCGGCUAACUCUGUGCCAGCAGCCGCGGUAAUACAGAGGGUGCAAGCGUUAAUCGGAUUUACUGGGCGUAAAGCGCGCGUAGGCGGCUAAUUAAGUCAAAUGUGAAAUCCCCGAGCUUAACUUGGGAAUUGCAUUCGAUACUGGUUAGCUAGAGUGUGGGAGAGGAUGGUAGAAUUCCAGGUGUAGCGGUGAAAUGCG
rnacentral:rRNA from 1 species